UUUUGUCAUUGAUUCAAAAUAGGAAAAUAUUAAUUCUGUUUUGGCUGGAACUGUUCAAUGCAAAUAAAAUUGAUUGUGGGUCGCCUGCCUGCAUCAAUAAGCAUCAGGUAUAGUUUUUUUUAGUUAUUCAGCUAUUGAGUUAUAAUUUGAUUAAGUGAGUAAUUGAUUAAUGAUACUGCUGUGAAUGGUGAAUUGAGGUGAGAAAUAUGGUGAGUUUAUUCAUUGUUCCUUAUUUUUUUUUCCUGUUUUCUCUGCAUAGUUAUAUCUUUUUUUCUUGAUCCUUGUAAAUUAAUCAUUAUAUGUUUUAGGAUGCUGCUACUCUAAAUUAUUGGAAGCUGGUCAUCACUGUUUGAAAAGAAUAAUGCAUCACAAUUGCCCUGUUUGCUUUGAGCUGAGUACAUUCUCGGUGGCAGCAGACUUGGAAACAAAUUCCGCGGCUUGUCUAAGAUCCAAGUCCUUAGGAGUUCCUCAUCAGAUAAAGAGAGAGCAAACAAUGUUGCUAAGAUCAAAGUUGUGAUAUGCUUUGUGUUGCAUGUUUCUCUUCUAUGCUUCUUGUAGUUUGCAUUAUGUCUGAUGCUAAUCAAUGUUCUUUUAGUUACUUUAGCAGUUACAUGUUGAUUGAGAAUGCUACUUGCUACAUCAGGUUCUUAGUCGGUAAUGGCUUGGCUAGUGUCAACAUGUAUAGAUUUUAAACUUUGAAGUUUUUGCGUGUGCAAACAAUGAAUUAAUUGAUUCUAAUUUGGAUUUGAAUUUCGUUUGGUGUA